AGGGUGUUCCCUGUGGGCAACUGAGCUGCACAGUUUAAAUGAAAGAAGACAGAGCAAGGAAGGAAAGAGGAGGCUGCUGGACAGGUGUGGACUGGACCUUGGCUGCUCUUCCUUGUCCCAUCCAGGCAAGCAGUGAGCACUUUAAGAUCACUGGCCUCCGUGAUUUCUGAUGAUGUAUCCACAGUCACUGGAAACUUUGUUCUUCUGCAAUUAACUUCCCUGAGCUCCAUGUCUAAACUCUGCCUUUCCUGCACGGACAACAGCUAAAGUAUCUCUUCAAUACUUCUAGCCUCAGCUAGUCUUCUUGGAGUCUACCUCGAGUGAAGAUGUCAAAUCCUCUAAGAAAAAAACGCAGCAGCCCAGAAUCAUCAGUGUCUUUAGUGGCCUAGAACUACAGCAUCCAGGUAUGGAGAGUCCUGUGGUCAAGUCGGCUUGAAAAGUGGGAGGCUGAACAAUGACAGUUUCAACUGCAGGACUUCACACAGCCUUUGCUCAAUUAACACACAUUGUGAUGCUCCAAACCUGAGCUGGAGAUUAUAGCAUGAUGUCUACACCUCUAAUAAUCCUUUCCAGGGGAAGCAUCUCAUGAUACUAGUGUAGAGCAUGCUUUGGAAAGUGGUACAGUGGGACCAUAUCUAUCAAUCAAAGCAUUCCGUAGUCAGCAGAGGGAGACACAACUCUGGGGGAUUUUUUUUUUUUUUAAAGUAUUGGGCAG